rnacentral:misc_RNA from 1 species
GGAAAUGACGGAGAGACAUGAAGUUGAGGAAGAGAAACACACGAGGGCGGUGGAGCAAUUGGUGGUUGACGGUGGUGGAAGUGGAGGAGAUGGUAGCGGAAAGAAAUGUGGUGGCGAUGGUGACGGUGAUGGUGAUUCUGAUGGAGAUAGUUUUGAGUAUAGUACUGAUUUGUAUUACACAAAGAUGAUUCAAGCUGACCCUGGGAAUUCACUACUUCUUGGAAAUUAUGCGAGAUUCUUGAAAGAGGUGAGUGGAAACAUGGUGAAAGCAGAAGAAUAUUGUGAAAGAGCAAUUUUAGCAAAUCCAAGUGAUGGAAAUGUACUUUCAUUCUAUGCUGAUUUAAUUUGGAGAGCACAUAAAGAUGUCCCUCGUGCUAACAACUACUUUCACAAAGCUCUUAAAGUUGCACCAAACGAUUGCUAUGUGUUGGCUUCCUAUGCCCACUUUCUUUGGGACGUAGAGGAUGAAGAAGAAGAAGAAGA